GUCUGGGUAGCUCAGUCGGUUGAGCAUCUGACUUCGGCUCAGGUCUUGAUUUCAUGGCUCUUGGGUUCGAGCCCCACGUCGGCCU
rnacentral:tRNA from 1 species